GCUGCAGCAAGCCCCCAAACGUGUGUCAGUCACGAGUCUGCGCCUCCGGCUGUUGCUCGAGUCCACAAAAAGCAAGAGCUUCUCCUACACAAAGUUCAGCUGUCCCUGCAUCUGCUGCCUCCACGCUGGGCCCUGAGGCGCAGGUAUCAUUGUUUUAGACCAUGGACAAACAUCCAUAUUUUCUUGAUGUAGUCAAGACAGCACUGGAUUUGGAAUCAGAAGACCUGGUAUUUGAUUUCAAACUAAGCAACUAUGUUUUUAGAUCCAUAGUCCUGGCAGCCAUGGUGUUAGGAAUAUUGCACGUGGAAGUGACUCAACUGCUUUAGGUGACCCCAGGAAAUCUUGCAUGACCUAACAACUGAAGAACUUCCUAGAGGAAUCACUGAUUCACUCUUUAUGGUGCCAUCCCUAAAGUGGAGAUUUCUACACCUGUGUGUCCUAGACUCGGACGCCUCAUCUGCAGCGGAGCACAAACAGCGAGCCCAGCCGCUUAGGGCUCACCUCACCCGCCUACCCGGAUGCUGCCAACCCGGUCAACCAAAUUCAGAGAUUGCUUUCCCACUAUGGCAUGGAUCAUAGACUUUUGGCUUGAACGCACUUAACUCCUUUCCUUCCCAUUUCCUUUGAACUACUAUCUUUCAUUUUUCUAGUCUGUUGCUGGAUUGGAUUCAAUAAAAUGUUUCCAUUCAA